rnacentral:rRNA from 1 species
AGCGAACGCUGGCGGCAGGCCUAACACAUGCAAGUCGAGCGCCCAGCAAUGGGAGCGGCAGACGGGAUAGUAACACGUGGGAACGUACCUUUCAGUUCGGAACAACCCAGGGAAACUUGGGCUAAUACCGAAUACGUCCGUAAGGAGAAAGAUUUAUCGCUGAAAGAUCGGCCCGCGCCUGAUUAGCUAGUUGGUGAGGUAAUGGCUCACCAAGGCGACGAUCAGUAGCUGGUCUGAGAGGAUGAUCAGCAUCACUGGGACUGAGACACGGCCCAGACUCCUACGGGAGGCAGCAGUGGGGAAUAUUGGACAAUGGGCGCAAGCCUGAUCCAGCCAUGCCGCGUGGAUGAUGAAGGCCUUAGGG